rnacentral:misc_RNA from 1 species
UUUCCGUAGGUGAACCUGCGGAAGGAUCAUUAAUGAGUUGUCAUGGGGUUCGAUGCUGGCAGCCAGCUUUUGGAUGCAUGUGCUUGCCCUAACAAUCAUCUUCUUCCAAACACCUGUGCACAUUUUUGAGGGAGUCUUGAGUUGGUUGCCGCUCUUGGGUGAUUUUCUCACAUUCCCUUAAAUCAUUAUACGCUAUUAACAAUGUUGAACGUGCUCUGUGCCGCAAGGCCAUUAAUAUAAUACAACUUUUAACAACGGAUCUCUUGGCUCUC